GCGUGGGGUAGGGUGCGAGAUUCAAGCCCGGUCAACGCUUUGGCUAUGGGCAGUGACCCCCAAAUCUUCCUGGGCUGUAGGCUCACUACUGCUUUAUCCUCUAUGAGCCACUCAGCUGCUUCGUUCUUCCAGUGUAAUACCCACUACUACCAAGGUGAGAAGGUCUGGUCCAACUCCAUCCUCGAGAACCCCGUCCACAUUUGUCAGGGACUGGAAAGAGGCUUCCUGGCUCCUCAUCUUAUGUCACAAAGGGUCUCUUCGCACAGCCCUGUAGAAGAAGGUCCCAUUGUGGGGCUCCCUCAGACACCUAAAGGGCAGGUUCCUUUGGACCGUCCCUCAACAGUACUAUCCAAACCUGUUCGGGUUCAGCUUGUCUUUUGAGGUACCUAUAUGGUCUAGACUUCAGCCUGAAGGCACCAGUGCCCUAAUCCCUGCCUGGCCUGAGGAGGUCAGGUAACACAGUCGGGGGUCACUAAGGCCGGGUACAGCUGCGUCCCCCACCCCCCACGCACGCACAAACGCGGGGUCACCCGAACCCUGUGCCCCGCAGCGUUCGAUCUCAGGACCGAAGACACCCUGGGCUAGGGUGCCCUCCACUCAGCGCGCUGCGCUGUAGCAGCCGCCGCCUCUCGCUUCCCGCCUCGGUGGCCGCGCAGGGUGGGAGUCGAGAGCAUCUCCAAGCACCCAAGCCAUGGUGGCCAAACAGCGGAUCCGGAUGGCUAACGAGAAGCACAGCAAAAACAUCACCCAGAGGGGAAACGUAGCCAAAACCCUGAGGCCACAAGAAGAGAAAUAUCCUGUUGGGCCAUGGCUGCUGGCACUGUUUGUUUUCGUUGUCUGUGGCUCAGGUUGACCACAUAAAUACUGGCUUUUCCUGGAGACUGGCAGAACAUUCUGGAAACUGCCCCCAGAGGGAGUCACCCCAGAAAGCAUCCUGAGGUGCGUGAGAACCGGACACCCCCAGAGGAUCAAGAUGGACAGUCUGGAGGAGACAUCUCCGCAGCCAUCAGCUCUUCCAAGCUAUCUUCCAGAUCAUACAGAGCAUACGGAUGGGCAUGUGAGAAGGCCAGGGCGUUGGCUGCUGCUGCCCUGCUGCUGGCGGGUGGAGGGCCACGGAGAUCUUCAGCAGGUCUACAGCAAGCGAACGAGCCGCGGGCAAUAGAAAGGAGGUCCCCUGUUAUUCCCUCCCACUCCAUGGUGGAGGUUUGACCAAAUUGCCUUCUCACAGGACAUCUCCCUGCAUCUGUGUCCUCCAGUGGAAAGGACUCUGCUCUUGCCGGCCCGACUGGAAGCCACGUGGGGGGAGGGGGAGGUCGGUUGUAGUGCUCCCUGUCCGGUUCCCCGGGUUUCACUGUGGUGUGCAUGUGGCCCUCUGAGCGACUGCCCAUUUACAUCCUGCCAAUACGGUCUCUUCUGUGUCAGGAAUUGGUUUUACAAAUAAAUGUCUUCAUUCAACCUUAA